GCGGAGGAAAAGAAACCAACAGGGAUUGCCCUAGUAACGGCGAGUGAAGCGGCAACAGCUCAAAUUUGAAAUCUGGCUCUCUUUGGGGGUCCGAGUUGUAAUUUGCAGAGGAUGCUUUGGCAUUGGCGGCGGUCUAAGUUCCUUGGAACAGGACAUCACAGAGGGUGAGAAUCCCGUACGUGGUCGCCUGCCUUUGCCGUGUAAAGCUCCUUCGACGAGUCGAGUUGUUUGGGAAUGCAGCUCUAAAUGGGAGGUAAAUUUCUUCUAAAGCUAAAUACUGGCCAGAGACCGAUAGCGCACAAGUAGAGUGAUCGAAAGAUGAAAAGUACUUUGGAAAGAGAGUCAAAAAGCACGUGAAAUUGUUGAAAGGGAAGCGCUUGCAGCCAGACUUGCCCGCAGUUGCUCACCUAGGCUUUGGCCUGGGGCACUCUUCUGCGGGCAGGCCAGCAUCAGUUUGGGCGGUUGGAUAAAGGCCUCUGUCACGUAUCUCCCUUCGGGGUGACCUUAUAGGGGAGGCGCAAUGCAACCAGCCCGGACUGAGGUCCGCGCAUCUGCUAGGAUGCUGGCGUAAUGGCUGUAAGCGGCCCGUCUUGAAACACGGACCAAGGAGUCUAACAUCUAUGCGAGUGUUUGGGUGUCAAGCCCGAGCGCGCAAUGAAAGUGAACGGAGGUGGGAACCCUUUGGGUGCACCAUCGACCGAUCCUGAUGUCUUCGGAUGGAUUUGAGUAAGAGCAUAGCUGUUGGGACCCGAAAGAUGGUGAACUAUGCUUGAAUAGGGUGAAGCCAGAGGAAACUCUGGUGGAGGCUCGCAGCGGUUCUGACGUGCAAA
rnacentral:sRNA from 1 species